UACGGAGGGUGCAAGCGUUAUCCGGAUUCACUGGGUUUAAAGGGUGCGUAGGUGGGCAGGUAAGUCAGCGGUGAAAUCUCCGGGCUUAACUCGGAAACUGCCAUUGAUACUAUCUGUCUUGAAUACCGUGGAGGUCAGCGGAAUAUGUCAUGUAGCGGUGAAAUGCUUAGAUAUGACAUAGAACACCAAUUGCGAAGGCAGCUGGCUACACAAAUAUUGACACUGAGGCACGAAAGCGUGGGGAUCAAACAGG
rnacentral:rRNA from 1 species